GAUGAACGCUGGCGGCGUGCCUAAUACAUGCCAGUCGAGCGAACAGAUGAGGAGCUUGCUCCUCUGACGUUAGCGGCGGACGGGUGAGUAACACGUGGAUAACCUACCUAUAAGACUGGGAUAACUUCGGGAAACCGGAGCUAAUACCGGAUAAUAUAUUGAACCGCAUGGUUCAAUAGUGAAAGACGGUUUUGCUGUCACUUAUAGAUGGAUCCGCGCCGCAUUAGCUAGUUGGUAAGGUAACGGCUCACCAAGGCAACGAUGCGUAGCCGACCUGAGAGGGUGAUCGGCCACACUGGAACUGAGACACGGUCCAGACUCCUACGGGAGGCAGCAGUAGGGAAUCUUCCGCAAUGGGCGAAAGCCUGACGGAGCAACGCCGCGUGAGUGAUGAAGGUCUUCGGAUCGUAAAACUCUGUUAUUAGGGAAGAACAAAUGUGUAAGUAACUAUGCACGUCUUGACGGUACCUAAUCAGAAAGCCACGGCUAACUACGUG
rnacentral:rRNA from 1 species